rnacentral:rRNA from 1 species
UUCCGGUUGAUCCUGCCGGACCUGACUGCUAUUGGAGUGGGACUAAGUCACGCUAGUCAAAGGUGCGGAAUGGAGCACCUGGCGUACGGCUCAGUAACACGUAGUCAACCUACCCUAAGGACGAGGACAACCACGGGAAACUGUGGCUAAUACUCGAUAAGAAAUUUGGCCUGGAACGGUAUCUUUCAUAAAACCGGCUCGCCGUGAGACACGGGCCUUAGGAUGGGGCUGCGGCUGAUUAUGCUAGAUGGCGGUGUAAAGGACCACCAUGGCUACGAUCAGUAUGGGCGAUGGAAGUCGGAGCCCAGAGUCGGCUACUGAGACAAGGAGCCGAGCUUUACGAAGCUUAGCGGUCGCGAAAACUCGCCAAUGCACGAAAGUGUGAGUGGGCUACUCCAAGUGUCAUUCUUACGGAUGACUGUCGCUCAGUCUUACCAGCUGAGAAAGGAAGGAGAGGGCAAGGCUGGUGCCAGCCGCCGCGGUAAAACCAGCUCUUCGAGUGGUCAGGACGAAUAUUGGGUCUAAAGCGCUCGUAGCCGGACAAGUAGGUUCUUGGUUAAACCCGACAGCAUAACUGUUGGUCUGCUGGGAAUACCGCUAGUCUUGGAAGCGGGAGAGGACAGAGGUAGUCAUAGGGCAGGGGUGAAAUCCAGUGAUCCUAUGGCGACCACCGAUGGCGAAGGCAUCUGUCUGGAACGUAUUCGACGGUGAGGGGCGAAAGCCAGGGGAGCGACCCGGAUUAGAUACCCGGUUAGUCCUGGCCGUAAACGAUGCGGACUAGGUGUUGCACCGGCCAAGAGCCGCUGCAGUGCCACAGCGAAAGCGUUAAGUCCGCCACCUGGGGAGUACGUAUGCAAGUAUGAAACUUAAAGGAAUUGACGGGGGCGCACCACCAGGGGUGAAGCCUGCGGUUUAAUUGGAUUCAACGCCG